GACGAACGCUGGCGGCGUGCUUAAUACAUGCAAGUCGAACGGAAAGGCCCUGCUUUUGUGGGGUGCUCGAGUGGCGAACGGGUGAGUAACACGUGAGUAACCUGCCCUUGACUUUGGGAUAACUUCAGGAAACUGGGGCUAAUACCGGAUAGGAGCUACUGCUGCAUGGUGGGGGUUGGAAAGGUUCGGCGGUGGGGGAUGGACUCGCGGCUUAUCCGCUAGUUUGUGGGGUAGUGGCUUACCAAGGCUUUGACGGGUAGCCGGCCUGAGAGGGUGACCGGCCACAAUGGGACUGAGAUACGGCCCAGACUCCUACGGGAGGCAGCAGUGGAGAAUAUUGCACAGUGGGCGGAAGCCUGAUGCAGCAGCGCCGCGUGCGGGAUAACGGCCUUCGGGUUGUAAACAGCUUUCGCCUGUGACGAAGCGUGAGUGACGGUAAUGGGUAAAGAAGCACCGGCUAACUACGUG
rnacentral:rRNA from 1 species